UAAUACUGGAUAGGCAAUUAUUCCGGUAAUGGUUUUUUGUUUAAAUGUUUUUUCGCCUAAGGAUGGGUCUGCGGCCGAUUAGGUAGUUGGUUAGGUAAUGGCUUACCAAGCCUUUGAUCGGUACGGGUUGUGAGAGCAAGAGCCCGGAGAUGGAACCUGAGACAAGGUUCCAGGCCCUACGGGGUGCAGCAGGCGCGAAACCUCCGCAAUGUGAGAAAUCGCGACGGGGGGAUCCCAAGUGCCAUUCUUAACGGGAUGGCUUUUCUUUAGUGUAAAAAGCUUUUGGAAUAAGAGCUGGGCAAGACCGGUGCCAGCCGCCGCGGUAACACCGGCAGCUCUAGUGGUAGCAAUUUUUAUUGGGCCUAAAGCGUCCGUAGCCGGUUUAAUAAGUCUCUGGUGAAAUCCUGUAGCUUAACUGUGGGAAUUGCUGGAGAUACUAUUAGACUUGAGACCGGGAGAGGUUAGAGGUACUCCCAGGGUAGAGGUGAAAUUCUGUAAUCCUGGGAGGACCGCCUGUUGCGAAGGCGUCUAACUGGAACGGUUCUGACGGUGAGGGACGAAAGUUAGGGGCGCGAACCGGAUUAGAUACCCGGGUAGUCCUAACUGUAAACGAUGCGGACUUGGUGUUG
rnacentral:rRNA from 1 species